AUUAAUACUUCGAGUAAAUUCUUACUAACUUGUAUGUACCUCAAGUUAAUGGCCAUUCUCCUAAAUUGGGCGAUGUUGAAGCUGAACAUCACAUUGCUGAACAUUCUUGAAAGUUGAACAUCAUAUGAAUUCAGGAGUACAAAGAUACCAUACUAAAGAAAAAAUCACAAAUUCUCAAAUUUCACAAAAUAAUAUAACCCCAAAUUGUUUUAGCAUGAACUCAUUAUACUUUAAUUUGAUACCAUUUCAAGUUGGUGCUCUUACGCUUCACGAGAAAAAUAAGAAGCUAAUCUUCAUUUACAAAUUUUGUGUAUAUUUAGAAGUAGAAAAACUUCCAACUUUAGCAGCGGAGGAAAUAAUUUGUACCAUAUUUUGAACAUUAGCCGGGGAGAUAAUGCAAGAUGACAAAAGAAUUGUGUCACAAAGCUCAUUUUUUAGAACAGAUUUAAACAAAGUAGAUCUGCAAAAGUCAGACUGCAAAAACAUUUAUGAAAUAAAAAAGAAAGAAAAAUCCUAAAAAUAAAAAAACCAUGGGUAGUACUAAACCAAUUCAAAAGACAAUCAAACUAAAAAUGUUGAGAAAAUCUGAAAUCAAGCAAAACUCAGUGUUGCAUAUAAUGUAAAGACUUCAAAAGUAAAAGGUUGAAGAAGAAAACUCACUACAACACUCGAAGGGUAUGAAUACAACCAAGUGAGAAAUGUAUAGUGAGGUUUUGAGAUUUGGGGAUUUAGGGUUUUACAACUUCGAGAGAGAUGAAGGAUAUUUUGAUAGAACAACGUCUUUUUAAUUAG
rnacentral:lncRNA from 1 species